CUUCGUAGUUCAUUUCUGUCCAGCGGAGCCUGAUUUCUACUCCGAGAUAUUUUAAGACAUACCUCAAGUUUCUCAGUCAAAGAAUUUUUGUUCGCCAUAAUGCAGCGUUACAAGAUUGAUAGAUCUGAAUGGAAUCAGCAGACUGUGAUACUCAUGAAGAAAACCUUAUUGGAGCGUUUGCAAAUUAUCGAACAUACCAACAAGGCUAUAAUUCAUCUAAAACGCUGUAAUGGUGCAACUAUAUAUGCCAACUUCGAUGGUUCUUAUGGAUAUUUUGGUGAGAUCUUUGCUAAAAUCCGUUUCCAGCUUAUGUAUACAGAAUAUGUUAUUAAUAUCGUCCACGAUAUGAUAACGACUCGCGAAAGAAUUGCAGAUGCUGCCGAAGCAGAACAAUAUCCGUGCACUAGAGAACAAAUAAAUAUAAUCGCGGAAUGGUAUCAGGAGGCCAAAGGGUGCACGGAACGCGUGAUGUCUAUAAUUGAACGAUAUUUUUGGGAGUACAUUGAACGGGAAUUAAAUUUAUAAAGAGAAGAAUGGAACAUUUUGUGGAACGUUUAUUUUGAAGUUUGCUUAUUUUAAA